rnacentral:rRNA from 1 species
UCCCCACCUGCUAGCCCCCGGCCUUAUGCAACAACCCAUAUUAAUUAUCGUAACACGGACUAUUAAUUUAAACUAAAACAUUCUGCCCCCCAGUAUAGGAGAUAGAAAAGGAAAUAGGCGCUACAAAUUCAGUACCGCAAGGGAAAGCUGAAAGAGAGAUGAAAGAGCUCCACAAAGAUAUUCAAAGCAGAGACCGACCCUCGUACCUUUUGCAUCAUGGACUGGCUAGAAAUUUCAAGCGAAAUGAAUUUUAUGUUUGAUUCCCCGAAACCAAGCGAGCUACUCCAGGACAGCCUGCUAACGUAGGGCGAACCCAUCUCUGUGGCAAAAGACUGGGAAGAUCCUCGAGUAGAGGUGAUAAAUCUAACGGGCUUGGUGAUAGCUGGUUGCCUAAGAAAAGAAUAGGAGUUCCACUUUUUAGUAUCUUGUUAUUCACCCCUGGUCACGCCACAAGCAGAUCACUAGAUUACUAAAAAAGCCAUUCGAGGGGGGAACAGCCCCCUUGAAAAGAGACACAACUCUGAAGUAGCCGGCUAAAGAUUACAACUUCAUAGGGUAUCUACCUGAGUGGGCCUAGGAGCAGCCAACCAAUUAGACAGCGUUAAAGCUCGAGUAGAGCAGAUCCUCAGAUAUUAGACGAUUAAUCUUAUGCCCCUUAACAUAUUAGGCCCACCCAUGCAUACAUGGGUGCGAUAAUGCUAGUAUGAGUAAUAAGAGAGCCCCUGGCUCUCUCGCGUGCAUGCGUGUACAUCAGACCGAACCCCCACUGACAGUUAAACGUCCCACCCACCAGAGGGAAAUGAGAAAAUCUGCUUUAACAAACAAGAAAACCCCUCAACCUGAAAACGUUAAUCUUACACGAGAAUGCCUCACGAAAGACACAAGCAGAGGGAAGGAACUCGGCAAACACUAGCCCCGCCUGUUUACCAAAAACAUCGCCUCUUGCCCACAUAUAAGAGGUCCUGCCUGCCCUGUGACAAAAUGUUUAACGGCCGCGGUAUUCUGACCGUGCGAAGGUAGCGUAAUAACCUGUUCCUUAAAUGGGGACCAGUAUGAAUGGCUUCACGAGGGCUGAGCUGUCUCCCUUCGGUUGUCAAUGAAGUUGAUCUCCCCGUGCAGAAGCGGGGAUAUGCCCAUAAGACGAGAAGACCCUAUGGAGCUUUAGACUUACAAGCAACCCCUAUAUUAAUAACCCUGCCUGAACAGCGGAUAACUUGGGACUCCUGCCCUAUGUCUUAGGUUGGGGCGACCACGGGGGAAGAAAAAGCCCCCACGUGGAACGGGACCCUAGUCCACCGAGCCCAGAGCCGCAGCUCUAAUAAACAGAACAUCUGACCAACCAGACCCGGCAAUGCCGAUCAACGGACCAAGUUACCCUAGGGAUAACAGCGCAAUCCCCUUUGAGAGUCCAUAUCGACAAGGGGGUUUACGACCUCGAUGUUGGAUCAGGACCUCCUAAUGGUGCAGCCGCUAUUAAGGGUUUGUUUGUUCAACGAUUAAAGUCCUACGUGAUCUGAGUUCAGACCGGAGCGAUCCAGGUCGGUUUCUAUCUAUGAGUGCUCCUCCCUAGUACGAAAGGACCGAGAAGAGGGGGCCCAUGCUCCCAGUAAGCCUCACCCCCACCCAAUGACCUCCACUAAAAAGGAUAAGGGGGCUAACCUUCUGCUGCCUAAGAUCAAGGCACACAA